rnacentral:rRNA from 1 species
UACGAAGGGGGCUAGCGUUGUUCGGAAUCACUGGGCGUAAAGCGCACGUAGGCGGAUCUUUAAGUCAGGGGUGAAAUCCCGAGGCUCAACCUCGGAACUGCCUUUGAUACUGGGGAUCUCGAGUCCGGGAGAGGUGAGUGGAACUGCGAGUGUAGAGGUGAAAUUCGUAGAUAUUCGCAAGAACACCAGUGGCGAAGGCGGCUCACUGGCCCGGAACUGACGCUGAGGUGCGAAAGCGUGGGAGCAACAGGA